rnacentral:rRNA from 1 species
UGGGGAAUAUUGCACAAUGGGGGAAACCCUGAUGCAGCGACGCCGCGUGAGCGAAGAAGGCCUUCGGGUCGUAAAGCUCUUUUAUGAGGGAAGAUAAUGACGGUACCUCAAGAAAAAGCCCCGGCUAACUACGUGCCAGCAGCCGCGGUAAUACGUAGGGGGCUAGCGUUGUCCGGAAUCACUGGGCGUAAAGGGUUCGCAGGCGGAAUAACAAGUCAGAUGUGAAAGGCAUGGGCUAAACCCAUGUAAGCAUUUGAAACUGUAAUUCUUGAGAAGUGGAGAGGUAAGUGGAAUUCCUAGUGUAGCGGUGAAAUGCGUAGAUAUUAGGAGGAAUACCUGUGGCGAAGGCGACUUACUGGACACAAAUCUGACGCUGGGGGACGAAAGCGUGGGUAGCAAACAGG